UGCCUGUUUACCAAAAACAUCACCUCUAGCAUUUCCAGUAUUAGAGGCACUGCCUGCCCAGUGACAUCAGUUAAACGGCCGCGGUAUCCUGACCGUGCAAAGGUAGCAUAAUCAUUUGUUCCUUAAAUAGGGACUUGUAUGAAUGGCCACACGAGGGCUUUACUGUCUCUUACUUCCAAUCCGUGAAAUUGACCUUCCCGUGAAGAGGCGGGAAUAUGACAAUAAGACGAGAAGACCCUAUGGAGMUUUAAUUAACCGACCCAAAGAGAUCUUGAUAAUCAACCGACAGGGAUAACAUACCUCUACCAUGGGCCGACAAUUUAGGUUGGGGUGACCUCGGAGAAUAAAACAACCUCCGAGUGAUUUAAAUCUAGACUAACUAGUCGAAAGUACUACAUCACUUAUUGAUCCAAAAACUUGAUCAACGGAACAAGUUACCCUAGGGAUAACAGCGCAAUCCUAUUUUAGAGUCCAUAUCGACAAUAGGAUUGCGCUGUUAUCCCUAGGGUAACUUGUUCCGUUGAUCAAGUUUUUGGAUCAAUAAGUGAUGUAGUACUUUCGACUAGUUAGUCUAGAUUUAAAUCACUCGGAGGUU
rnacentral:rRNA from 1 species